UACAGAGGGGGCAAGCGUUAUUCGGAAUUACUGGGCGUAAAGCGCACGUAGGCGGACUGUUAAGUCGGGGGUGAAAUCCUGGGGCUCAACCUCAGAAUUGCCUCCGAUACUGGCAGUCUCGAGUGCGGGAGAGGUGAGUGGAAUUCCCAGUGUAGAGGUGAAAUUCGUAGAUAUUGGGAAGAACACCAGUGGCGAAGGCGGCUCACUGGCCCGUAACUGACGCUGAGGUGCGAAAGCGUGGGGAGCAAACAGG
rnacentral:rRNA from 1 species